CCUUCAAACUCCUUGUCCGCAGAGACAACACGACCCACAUCCUCACAGACCCCUCCAAACAGCAAGCUUUUGCCUCCAAACUGGGCCUGCGCCUACCAGCGGCAAGAUCUGACACCACUACCACCACUGCACGGAGACGACCCCCAGCACUACAACCACUGUGGGAAAAACCAUCGCCGCAAAGACACCACCACGCCGGGAACAGCCCAAAAGCUACGCCAAGCACC